CGGCGUCGAGCGGCGGACGGGUGAGUAAUGCCUAGGAAAUUGCCCUGAUGUGGGGGAUAACCAUUGGAAACGAUGGCUAAUACCGCAUGAUGCCUACGGGCCAAAGAGGGGGACCUUCGGGCCUCUCGCGUCAGGAUAUGCCUAGGUGGGAUUAGCUAGUUGGUGAGGUAAGGGCUCACCAAGGCGACGAUCCCUAGCUGGUCUGAGAGGAUGAUCAGCCACACUGGAACUGAGACACGGUCCAGACUCCUACGGGAGGCAGCAGUGGGGAAUAUUGCACAAUGGGCGCAAGCCUGAUGCAGCCAUGCCGCGUGUGUGAAGAAGGCCUUCGGGUUGUAAAGCACUUUCAGUCGUGAGGAAGGUGGUGUAGUUAAUAGCUGCAUCAUUUGACGUUAGCGACAGAAGAAGCACCGGCUAACUCCGUGCCAGCAGCCGCGGUAAUACGGAGGGUGCGAGCGUUAAUCGGAAUUACUGGGCGUAAAGCGCAUGCAGGUGGUUUGUUAAGUCAGAUGUGAAAGCCCGGGGCUCAACCUCGGAAUAGCAUUUGAAACUGGCAGACUAGAGUACUGUAGAGGGGGGUAGAAUUUCAGGUGUAGCGGUGAAAUGCGUAGAGAUCUGAAGGAAUACCGGUGGCGAAGGCGGCCCCCUGGACAGAUACUGACACUCAGAUGCGAAAGCGUGGGGAGCAAACAGGAUUAGAUACCCUGGUAGUCCACGCCGUAAACGAUGUCUACUUGGAGGUUGUGGCCUUGAGCCGUGGCUUUCGGAGCUAACGCGUUAAGUAGACCGCCUGGGGAGUACGGUCGCAAGAUUAAAACUCAAAUGAAUUGACGGGGGCCCGCACAAGCGGUGGAGCAUGUGGUUUAAUUCGAUGCAACGCGAAGAACCUUACCUACUCUUGACAUCCAGAGAACUUUCCAGAGAUGGAUUGGUGCCUUCGGGAACUCUGAGACAGGUGCUGCAUGGCUGUCGUCAGCUCGUGUUGUGAAAUGUUGGGUUAAGUCCCGCAACGAGCGCAACCCUUAUCCUUGUUUGCCAGCGAGUAAUGUCGGGAACUCCAGGGAGACUGCCGGUGAUAAACCGGAGGAAGGUGGGGACGACGUCAAGUCAUCAUGGCCCUUACGAGUAGGGCUACACACGUGCUACAAUGGCGCAUACAGAGGGCAGCCAACUUGCGAAAGUGAGCGAAUCCCAAAAAGUGCGUCGUAGUCCGGAUUGGAGUCUGCAACUCGACUCCAUGAAGUCGGAAUCGCUAGUAAUCGUGGAUCAGAAUGCCACGGUGAAUACGUUCCCGGGCCUUGUACACACCGCCCGUCACACCAUGGGAGUGGGCUGCAAAAGAAGUAGGUAGUUUAACCUUC
rnacentral:rRNA from 1 species